GACGAACGCUGGCGGCGUGCUUAACACAUGCAAGUCUACGGGAAAGGGGUAGCAAUAUCCCGAGUAUAGUGGCGCACGGGUGAGUAACACGUAGGCAAUUUGCCUUUAGGACGGGGACAACUCCGCGAAAGCGGAGCUAAUACCCGAUAAUGCAGCGGCAUCGCAUGAUGAUGUUGUUAAAGGUCCGCAAGGACGCCUAGAGAUGAGCCUGCGUCCCAUUAGGUAGUUGGUGAGGUAACGGCCCACCAAGCCUGCGAUGGGUAGCUGGUCUGAGAGGAUGAUCAGCCACACUGGAACUGAGACACGGUCCAGACUCCUACGGGAGGCAG
rnacentral:rRNA from 1 species